GGGAAACCCACUCCGUAAGGAGUAUCCCUGACUGAAUACAUAGGUCAGUGGAAGCGAACCGGGUGAACUGAAACAUCUCAGUAGCUCGAGGAAAAGAAAUCAACCGAGAUUCCGAAAGUAGUGGCGAGCGAAAUCGGAAGAGCCUUCACGUUUUAGCAUGCAAGAUAGUCGAACGGAAUGGAAAGUCCGGCCGUAGCAGGUGAUAGCCCUGUAGACGAAAUUUUGUGUGUGGAACUAAGCGUGAGAAAAGUAGGGCGGGACACGUGAAAUCCUGUUUGAAGAUGGGGGGACCAUCCUCCAAGGCUAAAUACUCGUGAUCGACCGAUAGUGAACCAGUACCGUGAGGGAAAGGCGAAAAGAACCCCGGAAGGGGAGUGAAAUAGAUCCUGAAACCGUAUGCAUACAAACAGUAGGAGCCUCCUUGUGGGGUGACUGCGUACCUUUUGUAUAAUGGGUCAGCGACUUACAUUCAGUGGCAAGGUUAACCGAAUAGGGAAGCCGUAGCGAAAGCGAGUCCGAAUAGGGCGAUUCAGUCGCUGGGUGUAGACCCGAAACCAGAUGAUCUAUCC
rnacentral:rRNA from 1 species